UACGGAGGGUGCAAGCGUUAUCCGGAUUCACUGGGUUUAAAGGGUGCGCAGGCGGGCUAUUAAGUCCGUGGUGAAAUCCCGGGGCUCAACCCCGGAACUGCCAUGGAUACUAUUAGUCUUGAAUGUUGUUGAGGUGGGCGGAAUAGGUCAUGUAGCGGUGAAAUGCAUAGAUAUGACCUAGAACACCGAUUGCGAAGGCAGCUCACUGGACAAAUAUUGACGCUCAGGCACGAAAGCGUGGGGAUCAAACAGGA
rnacentral:rRNA from 1 species